AUUGAACGCUGGCGGAAUGCUUUACACAUGCAAGUCGAACGGUAGAGGGGGCAACCCCUCGAGAGUGGCGGACGGGUGAGUAAUAUAUCGGAACGCGCCCAGUCGUGGGGGAUAACGUAGCGAAAGUUACGCUAAUACCGCCUACGAUCUCAGGAUGAAAGCGGGGUAUGGCAAGACCUCGCGCGAUUGGAGCCGCCGAUAUCAGAUUAGGUAGUUGGUGGGGUAAAGGCUCACCAAGCAAACGAUCUGUAGCUGGUCUGAGAGGACGACCAGCCACACUGGAACUGAGACACGGUCCAGACUCCUACGGGAGGCAGCAGUGGGGAAUUUUGGACAAUGGACGCAAGUCUGAUCCAGCCAUUCCGCGUGCAGGAUGAAGGCCCUCGGGUUGUAAACUGCUUUUGUACGGAACGAAAAGGUCUCUCUUAAUACGGGGGGCUCAUGACGGUACCGUAAGAAUAAGCACCGGCUAACUACGUGCCAGCCGCCGCGGUAA
rnacentral:rRNA from 1 species